rnacentral:rRNA from 1 species
GACGAACCGUGCGAACGUUGUUCGGAAUCACUGGGCUUAAAGGGCGCGUAGGCGGGCGGCCGCGUCCGGGGUGAAAUCCCACGGCUCAACCGUGGAACGGCCUCGGAUACGGGCGGCCUCGAGGGGGGUAGGGGCGUGCGGAACUCUGGGUGGAGCGGUGAAAUGCGUAGAUAUCUGGAGGAAUACCGGUGGCGAAGGCGGCAUCCUGGACCGGCAUUGACGCUGAGGAGCGAAAGCCAGGGGAGCAAACGGG